CUGGAGGACGUUUCCGGGCAUUUCUCCGAUAGAGGUCGGAGUCCUGCGACUGCGUUUCGUUAGGGAGGUUGCAGGGACGUCUGUUUCAUGGCCCCUGUUAUGUUCUUCUCAGAGUGACCAGCAGUGGACCUGCGAGGGGACUUACCCAAUAAUGCCCGUCACCGCGCUGGGACUGGCACUCCGUUUCUGCCCUCUUUAUACCUGAGGACCCACACACAGUGGAGGAGCUGCUGUCAACAUCAUGCAACUGGCCAGACAAGAGCUUCUUCCCAGGUAUGUGUGGGAACUGUGUCUGUGUGUUUACGUGGUCCUCACGAGCCCUCUGUGAGUCGUUGCUGUUGUUAUUAUGUGUAUGACUUGUGCAUGUAUGUAUGUGCACCAUAUAUGUGCAGUGCCCAAAGACAUCAGAAGGGGCCGUCAAAUCCCCUUGGAGCUGGAAUUCCAGACAUCUGUGAGCCUGCAUGAGGCUCCUGAGGACAGAACCUAAGAGUGGCUAGUGCUCUUAACUGCUGAGCCAUCUCCAGCCCCAAACAAUGCAGCCUACGUUAUGUAUUUUACCAACAUGAAACCACAGU